GGAUGUUGCUGCAUCUGAAUUUUACAGUGACAAGGACAAAACUUAUGAUCUUAAUUUCAAGGAAGAGAACAAUGACGGUUCACAGAAGAUAUCAGGAGAUAGCUUGAAAAAUGUCUACAAAUCCUUUGUUAGUGAUUACCCCAUUGUGUCCAUUGAAGAUCCUUUUGAUCAGGAUGAUUGGACCCAUUAUGCGAAGAUGACAGAAGAAAUUGGCCAGCAGGUGCAGAUUGUUGGUGAUGAUCUU
rnacentral:misc_RNA from 1 species